rnacentral:misc_RNA from 1 species
GUGAAUCAUCAAAUUUUUGAACGCAAAUUGAACUCUUCUCGGAGAGUAUGCCUGUUUGAGGGUCAGCAUAUAAAAAUCGACAUGGUUGGUGUUUCGCGGUGGUGUUCGUCGGAAAUUGGGGCAUCUUAAAUCCUUUUGAUUUAAGUGAGUUAAAAUUGUGUUUUGGUUCCAUGAAAGUUUAUAAGAUCUAUUUCUUUACACGUUUAAGGGAUCGAUUUUUAUUAGACGUGAACAUCAUAUAGGAUCGCGUCUAUAAGUUUUGAUUAAUUG